GACGAACGCUGGCGGCGUGCCUAAUACAUGCAAGUUGAGCGCUGAAGGUUGGUACUUGUACCAACUGGAUGAGCAGCGAACGGGUGAGUAACGCGUGGGGAAUCUGCCUUUGAGCGGGGGACAACAUUUGGAAACGAAUGCUAAUACCGCAUAAAAACUUUAAACACAAGUUUUAAGUUUGAAAGAUGCAAUUGCAUCACUCAAAGAUGAUCCCGCGCUGUAUUAGCUAGUUGGUGAGGUAAAGGCUCACCAAGGCGAUGAUACAUAGCCGACCUGAGAGGGUGAUCGGCCACAGUGGGACGGAGACACGGCCCAAACUCCUACGGGAGGCAGCAGUAGGGAAUCUUCGGCAAUGGACGAAAGUCUGACCGAGCAACGCCGCGUGAGUGAAGAAGGUUUUCGGAUCGUAAAACUCUGUUGGUAGAGAAGAACGUUGGUGAGAGUGGAAAGCUCAUCAAGUGACGGUAACUACCCAGAAAGGGACGGCUAACUACGUG
rnacentral:rRNA from 1 species